GUUUAUGUGUCAGUGUGUCCUUGUUUGUAUAUGUGCGUGGCAUACUGUACGCCCGCUUUUGUGAUUCACAAGUAAAAGAAAUAGAAUAAGAUGAGAUAAAUUAUAAUAAAAUGCUUAGAAUUGAGAGAGUAGCUAUAAAUUAAAAAGCAAUUCUGUAUAAAACAAAUGAUGAAAGAAAUAACAGUCUCCAAUGUAUUUAUGGUGCUGUCAAAUAUAUUCAGCUCUUAACAGCAAGGUUUAUUGUGGCGAAACAAAUGUGUUUGCUAGAUUAGCUUAAUAAUUACUGCCAACGGAUAUCUUCUGCCUUCAUUUCUAUCUUCCUGCAAGGAGCAUCAGGUCUGACAGAGUGAAAAUGUGUAUUUCAAAUUGAUUUCACUGUUAAAAAUUCAUUUUAUAAAUGCCUUUUCAUUGACGAUUUAUCACGACCAAUUCCUAGAAGGCUGUCACACUUACCAUAAAAUAGCAAACAAGUUGCAGACGAGCAUAAAUUUGAGAAGAUUACCAACAGACGUGGCAGAGCAGUCUGACUUUCAAUCGCUUACGGAUUCUGUAACGUGAAAUGCGCAGUAUGUAUUGUAAGAAAAAUAGUGCCACAUUACAAAUGCCUUUCAUGGUGUCAUUUGUUUUAAAUUUGGAGAUAUGCAGGGAUGAAUUCACUUUUCUUUAUACUGUAUGCAUGCUCCUAGUUUGCGUCAAGUCUCAUUCAAACGAUACAAGGAUAAGUCAAUACCUUUGAUAUGGCAAAUAACAGUGGCGUUCAUUUCUACAAUGUAUCCAUUAUUACUGUAGGCCUGUUCCAUUUAUGUAAAAGCCUCUUCUGUAGAUAGCUAGUUAUAGAGAGAUAUUUCUACAGAACCUUAAAUUAACUGUAUGUACAAUUCUAUAACGUGUGCAUGUAUCACCUGCAUGAAUAAUACCUGGGGAGGGAGGGCAUACUACAUUAGACCUGGUGAGGGCAGUUACAAACAGAUUUUAAAAUCUGAGGCCAACCAGCACAUUAUUACAUCAUAGCUUGCUCUCUUUCUUAAUUUUGAUUAACUGUUUACACUAAUACUGCAAUAAAUGGAAUAUAAAAAUAAUAAAUUAAUAUUGUUAUUGUUAUAAAAGAAGGUGCUAGACGUCUGCAGCCUAUGCACCUCCCUAUACCAGUGGUCCAAAGAGGCAAUAACCCCCAACGCUCCUAGCCAGCUUUUCCAUGGGUAACAUAAAAUGAUCUUGGAGAUAUGAGACAUUAUGAGUCAGUUUUCAGUUACUUUUCAGUUUUAGAUAAUGUUCUCCUUGGAUGUGGAUGUAAUCUUAUAGGCAUAAGGACUGCAGACAAACUCCACUAUAAAUACAUUGAAAUACAUUGAAUAGUUUUCUGGAUGGGUGAUGAUGAG